UACGGGGGGGCAAGCGUUGUUCGGAAUUACUGGGCGUAAAGGGCUCGUAGGCGGCCAACUAAGUCAGACGUGAAAUCCCCAGGCUCAACCUGGGAACUGCGUCUGAUACUGGAUGGCUUGAAUUCGGGAGAGGGAUGCAGAAUUCCAGGUGUAGCGGUGAAAUGCGUAGAUAUCUGGAGGAAUACCGGUGGCGAAGGCGGCAUCCUGGGACCGACAUUGACGCUGAGGAGCGAAAGCAUGGGGAGCGAACAGG
rnacentral:rRNA from 1 species